rnacentral:rRNA from 1 species
ACUCAAAUGAAUUGACGGGGGUCCGCACAAGCGGUGGAACAUGUGGUUUAAUUCGACACUACGCGAGAAACCUUACCUGGGCUUGACAUAUGACUGCUACUGAUGGAAACAUUGGGUUCUGUAGCAAUACAGACGGUUAUACAGGUGCUGCAUGGCUGUCGUCAGCUCGUGUCGUGAGACGUCGGGUUAAGUCCUUGAACGAGCGCAACCCUUGCCGUUAGUUGCCUGUCGUAAGGCGGCACUCUAGCGGGACUGCCGUGGAAACACGGAGGAAGGUGGGGAUGACGUCAAGUCCUCAUGGCCCUUAUGCCCAGGGCUACACACGUGUUACAAUGGCGAUCUACAAAAGGAUGCAAGACCGCGAGGUGGAGCAAAUCCCCAAAGUUCGUCUAAGUUCAGAUUGUAGUCUGCAACCCGACUACAUGAAGCUGAAAUCGCUAGUAAUCGCAUAUCAUCACGAUGCGGUGAAUACGUUCUCGGACCUUGCACACACCGCCCGU